rnacentral:rRNA from 1 species
GUCCUUUAGUAAUAUAUAAUUUGAGGUCUAACCUGCCCAUUGAUAAAGUUAAAAGGCCGCAGUAAUUUGACUGUGCAAAGGUAGCAUAAUCAUUAGUUUUUUAAUUAAAAGCUUGUAUGAAUGGUUGGACGAGAUAAAAUCUGUCUCUUAAUAAAAAAUAGAAUUUAAUUUUUAAGUUAAAAAGCUUAAAUAUAAAUAAAAGACGAGAAGACCCUAUAGAUCUUUAUAUAAUUUUUUUUAGUAUUAAUAAAGAAAAUUUUAUUUAUUAAUUUAGUUUAUAUUUUAUUGGGGUAAUAAAAAGAUUAAAUAAAUUCUUUUAUAUAAAACAAAGAUUAUUGAUUAUAUGAUCCAUUAUUAAUGAUUAAAAGAUUAAGUUACCUUAGGGAUAACAGCGUAAUUUUUUUAGAGAGUUCUUAUCAAUAAAAAAGUUUGCGACCUCGAUGUUGGAUUAAAAGUAAUUCCAGGUGCAGAAGUUUGGAGUUUUGGUCUGUUCGACCAUUAAAUUUUU